rnacentral:lncRNA from 1 species
AUGGGCUGGCAGAGACCCUGUGUGAUGUGGCUGCCCUGCAUCCUGGUGUGGGGGCUCCGUGGUCAGCACCACCAGGCACAGAGGUCCUGGUCCUCAUCACACAGGGGACAGGAGACAGGGCAAAUUUUACAAGCAGCUGAGCAAGGACCUGGAGAGCUCUGUGAAAGACACCUGCUUCUGAGUAUUCCCAGUCUGAGGAGCCCUUCCUUUCAGAGAGGUGGGAAGCACAUGCAUGUGUCGAAGAAGAGAAAGAACAGAGACUACUUGAAAAGGAAAAUGCCCUGA